rnacentral:ncRNA from 3 species
AACGCACCUUGCGCUCCAUGGCAUUCCGUGGAGCAUGCCUGUUUGAGUGCCGCGAAAUCUCCCACCCCUAGCGGUUGCCGCAAGGCGCCGCCGGGCGGCGGGGUUGGUUGGGUGCCGCUGCCUGGGCUUUGGCCCAGGCUCGCCCGAAAUGCAUGAGCGCUUAGCACUCGCACCGUCUCGAGGGAAGGCGGCGGAGCUGGCAUCUGCGCAUGGCAUGAUACGUCAUUUGCUGUGUGGCAGCCCAGCGACCCGAGAGUGUGUGUGCGCUACUACACGCCCUUUCAUUUCUGGUCUCAAAUCAGGUAGGAUCACCCGCUGAACUUAA